rnacentral:rRNA from 1 species
GACGAACGCUGGCGGCGUGCCUAAUACAUGCCAGUAGAACGCUGAAGGAGGAGCUUGCUUCUCUGGAUGAGUUGCGAACGGGUGAGUAACGCGUAGGUAACCUGCCUGGUAGCGGGGGAUAACUAUUGGAAACGAUGGCUAAUACCGCAUAAUAGUAGAUGUUGCAUGACAUUUGCUUAAAAGGUGCAGUUGCAUCACUACCAGAUGGACCUGCGUUGUAUUAGCUAGUUGGUGAAGUAAUGGCUCACCAAGGCAACGAUACAUAGCCGACCUGGGAGGGUGGUCGGCCACACCGGGACUGAGACACGGCCCAGACUCCUACGGGGGGCAGCAGUAGGGAAUCUUCGGCAAUGGACGGAAGUCUGACCGAGCAACGCCGCGUUAGUUAAGAAGGUUUUCGGAUCGUAAAGCUCUGUUGUAAGAGAAGAACGAGUGUGAUAGUGGAAAGUUCACACUGUGACGGUAUCUUACCAGAAAGCGACGGCUAACUACGUG